rnacentral:tRNA from 1 species
AGCCCCGUGGUGUAGUGGCCAAUCAUAUCGGCCUUUGGAGCCGAUGACCUAGGUUCGAAUCCUGGCGGGGCUA